rnacentral:miRNA from 1 species
UUUGCGACUUGUUUACGGAUGCG